rnacentral:ribozyme from 1 species
AAAAAAUAAAAAUAAAAAUUCGGAAAAAAAAAAAAAGUUAAUAUGAAGAAAAAGACGAGACACAUGCAGCGUAUUUUUAUUUUUAAUUGUUU